GCUAAUUUUAUGGCAGGACAGGAGGCUUCAUAUUUGCAAUUUUAACGCCCAAAUAGUAGAACCAGAAGCAAUAUGAGAUAGAGGACUGAAAUAAAAGGAGAAUGGAAAAACAGAAUCCCUAAACCAAGCAGCGGUGUAGAGAAAAUGCAGAAGGGACCCAACGGCUUCCAAAGUUGUUGAGGUGACAGCACUCCGAACCAAAAGUGUCCCAGAGAAACUCUCAAGGUCAGCCAAUGAGAGGAUCCACCAAAUCCAACGGGCGAGCGAAGAUGCAGAAACAGUCCAAAACGGCCAUGCGCAGAAAUCAACAGCUGUCCAUAAGUAGACGGACGAAAGAACCAGAUCCUGGAUCUACAUGGUCGUGUACAACCUGUCAACAGAGCUGUGGCCUAUCCGGAGAAUAGGGGGACGACACAGGAUGAAUAGAAAAGACGUGUGGAGCAGAAGCCGAUGUACUGAACGGCAAGAAGGAAGAAGAAACUACAUCGAUACCAUGACGUCAGAACACAAUGAAAUACAAGAUGUACUGGGGAAAACCGUAAGCGGAAAAACCUGGCGCAAGGUAAGUCCUUGUCAUCAGGUCAUUCCUCAAGGAAAUGCAGAACACACAAUACCACUAGAAUUGAGGAAUAGCGAGAGAUAGGGCUCCCGUAUGGUAUACUCCUCUUGGUAGACUGCAGACCAAGAGAUCCUUAGCAAUGCCAGAAUCUUGAGAAAACGCAUGAGUUGUCCACUAGCUGACCUAGGACGUGAAUGGCCCCAUACGAUCCUACCCUGAGAGGGCAACUCAGCCAGACAAUGGGAACAGCCAUGAUAAGGACCGCCAUAGGGACCCAAACAUCU